GACGAACGCUGGCGGCGUGCUUAACACAUGCAAGUCGAACGGAAAGGCCCUGCUUUUGUGGGGUGCUCGAGUGGCGAACGGGUGAGUAACACGUGAGUAACCUGCCCUUGACUUUGGGAUAACUUCAGGAAACUGGGGCUAAUACCGGAUAGGAGCUCCUGCUGCAGGGUGGGGGGUGGAAAGUUUCGGCGGUUGGGGAUGGACUCGCGGCUUAUCAGCUUGUUGGUGGGGUAGUGGCUUACCAAGGCUGUGACGGGUAGCCGGCAUGGGAGGGUGACCGGCGACAAUGGGACUGAGAGACGGCCCAGACUCCUACGGGAGGCAGCAGUGGGGAAUAUUGCACAAUGGGCGGAAGCCUGAUGCAGCAACGCCGCGGGCGGGAUGCCGGCCUUCGGGUUGAAAACCGCUUUCGCCUGUGACGAAGCGUGAGUGACGGUAAUGGGUAAAGAAGCACCGGCUAACUACGUG
rnacentral:rRNA from 1 species